rnacentral:rRNA from 1 species
AUUGAACGCUAGCGGGAUGCCUUACACAUGCAAGUCGAACGGAGUGGCGGACGGGUGAGUAAUAGAUCGGAACGUGCCCUGUAGCGGGGGUUAUCUACCCGACUCUGAUGCUACUACCGCAUUCAAUUGGAGCGGUCGAUAUCGGAUUAGCUAGUUGGGGGGGUAAAGGCUCACCAAGGCAACGAACCGGAGCCGGGUUGAGAGGACGACCAGCCACAAUGGGACUGAGACACGGCCCAGACUCCUACGGGAGGCAGCAGUGGGGAAGUUUGGACAAUGGGGGAAAACCUGAUCCAGCCAUCCCGCGUGUAUGAUGAAGGCCUUCGGGUUGUAAAGUACGUUUGGCAGAGAGGCGGUAUCAGCAGAAUAAGCACCGGCUAACUUCGUGCCAGCAGCCGCGGUAAUUC